rnacentral:misc_RNA from 1 species
AGUCGCCUGCGGGCGGCCUUCUGCCUUGCUGGAGCCAUGCGAAGCGUGUAUCGACUGCCCUCUCGGGGUAUAGCGUAGCCUGGUAGCGCGGUUUUGGGUACCGCAGGGCGGAGGUUCGAAUCCUCCUGCCCCGACCAGCCAUCUAUUUGAAUCUGCUAAAUUUUCCCAAAGCGAUUCUGACGCGAUUCUGACAAGCGGUUCGCUGUUCGGGGUCGCUUGCGGCGCCCGCGCCGACGUCCGAUUUGGCUCAGCGGGUUCCGAACAGCGGAUGAGCCACGCGGUCGCCGGCCUGGAUUCCGUAUUUCCGGGCCGUUCCGCCGAUCACCUCAAGCACGCCCUUCGCCAGACCGCCCGACGAAAUGAUCUUCUCGGAGUGAGGUUCGGUAUUUUCCGCGAUCCGCAGAAUGCGGCCAUCGCUGCGGAUAAAGAUCAUGUCGAGCGGAAUGAAGGUGUUCUUCAUCCACAUCGAAACCUGCUGCUCGGGUGAGAAA